GAAAGCAUGAGUGAGGGCAGUCAAGGUUCGGCCGCCGAAUGUCAAGUUCGGCCGCCGAACAUUUGCAUGGAUGCGGAGGCACAUUCGGCCCCCGAACGUGGUCUGGCCAGCCACUAUAAAAGGGUCCCUUAGCCGAAAACGGGCGAGCUUUUUCCCCUAUUUUCGGCCAAGGUGAGCUUUCCGCCGUCCCUCACCCAUUUUCAAUGUUCUUCC
rnacentral:lncRNA from 1 species